CACAGCUGGUGAGCACCAAGGCCAGGAUCCGAACCCAGGACUCCUGACUCCAUCAGGGCAGUAGUGUAGAAUUCCUCUGUCUAUGGCCAUGUGCCCCCAAGCCUCUGGACUGUACCCUGGACACCCAGGGGGAUGUCCUUCCGCCAAAGGAAGGUCCUUUCCUAGCUCUUCCCCUGGCCAGCUCAUUCCCCCAGCUAGGUCUCAGCUCAAAUAU